GCCGUCGUAGCACAAUGGUAGUGCGUUGCUUUCCUAUCGCCCUAGGUGUCAGGCAGAGGCUGUGGGUUCGAGUCCCACCGUCGGUU